GUCUAUGACCAUAUCAUGCUGAAUAUACCCGUUCUCAUCCGAUGAUGGAAGUAAAGCGGCAUCGAGCAGAGUUAGUAAUUUAGAUAGGUGAGCGCUUAGGAAUACCCUUUGUCGCAGACU
rnacentral:rRNA from 1 species